CAGGCCUAGGAUCCAGACCAGUGUGGGGGGCUGGAGGGACUUGAAUAAAUGGCAGAAAGAAUUGAGGUUCAUGAGCAAUGGGCAAGUGAAACACGCUGCAUGGUGUUGGUUGCCUGGGCUGUCCUCAGCCCCAGCCCCAUAGACCAGAGCUGAGCCCUGGAAGACGAAGUUCCAAAGAUCAGUGACACUCAGAGCUCCAGGUGUGGGGCCCAGGCAGCUCUGCUCUGGGUGACCGGGCUGCAGCGGUGGGGUGGGGAGUGAAGACAGCUCUCUCCCUGGGGUCCCCGUUGGAGGCCACGCAUGGCUGGGGUGCCAGAGGUCCAGAUGUGGUCAUGCAGGAAUGCCAGCCUCCCUGGAGCUUGGGUGGUCUCUGCUGCAGGCAUCAGCAGUCAGAAGCAGCAUCAGAGAGGGAAAACAGCCGAUGCCAGCCGGCACCUGUGGAGCACAUCUGGACUGAAUUUCCCAGCUUCUGCCGCAGGUCUGUGAGGCCAUGUGACCUGAGAAGCAGUGAAGGUGGCAGAAGUGGGAUCCACCACAUCCAAGCUCAGGCCAUGAAACUGCCUGUGGCAUCCUCCACACUCUUGCUCUUCUCUCUCCUGCUGGUCAGACAUGGAUGAUCCAGUGGAGGCCUCCAAGGCCCUAGGGGAUGGCAGAACCGCUCGAUAGCAGAUGCUUGGGGCCCUGGAGGACUGCAUGGAUCAAAGCCCCCUCCAACCAACCUUGAUUGUGAAAUGAUGAUGAAAUAAACCUUCAUUAUGGUGUGUCACCGAGAGUUUGAGAUUGUUUGUUAUAGCACUUCAUCUACUCUGAUUAACACAAAAUCUGUUGAAGAGAAAAAAACACAGUAAACUCAGAUGUUUAGUGAUGUUUUCGAUAGCAUUCAUGGGGAAGGAAAAAUGCAACUUGAUUUCCAGACAGCUUAGAAAAAUUCAAAGGGAGAAAGAUUUCCUCUGGGUCAUUUUCACAAAGAAGGAACUCGGCCUGAGCUGAGCCAGAGGGAGUGAGUCACAGUGAAGACCACUGGCUUAUUAAUGGUACCAGGAAGCCUGAAUCCAGUGAAUGUGUCUGGCACUAGGGAUGUGUAUCCAUUAUGACUGAGUUCAGCUCUAUUUAAAAGGAAAACUAAUGACUGAGGCUUAAACAACAUGAGUGUUUAUUUUUCUCUCAAGCUUCAAGUUACAUAGUCCAAGGAUUUAUCAGCUCCAUGGUGACAUCAGGCUUUUUCUAGUUUUUCAAUCCAGAGCCCUUUUUAGAGUGUGGCCUUCAUUUUGUGUUCACAGCUACUAGAGUCCCAGCUGUCAUGUUGACAUUUUGGGGAGAGUACAGGAGGAGAAGUGGAGUGCAUAGGUAUGCACACUGGCUCUGGGGUGCCUGGGAUGCUCUGGCGGCACUCCCUUGGCCAUCUUCACUCCAGCCAGCCAUGUCCAUAGAUCCACACACGUGGUAAGCAUCACACACCAGCCACACCAUGAUGCCUCUUUGCUUUGCUGGAGCCACAGAAGACCACCCAACCACAUGAAAGAACAAUCAGUUAGUAUGGGGGAGCUAAGAACCCAAGGGAGAUCCCAAGCAAUGGGGAACUAGGCAGCCCAGCCUCGUAGUCCUCCACUGAGACGAUCGUGAGGCAUGGUCCACUGUGUGCAGGGUCCCACGGCAGACUGAGGUACUCACUGGCAACUGGCCUAUUAAUGCCUCCUUCACUGCUUUCCUCUCUUCCUUUUUUCCCUCUCCCCCAUUUCUGUUACCUGGGAUGAACUCCAAGAUAAACCACCUGCACCCAAGUUC
rnacentral:lncRNA from 1 species